rnacentral:lncRNA from 1 species
GCCUGGGGGCAUACAGAAUCCGGUCAAAGCCACCCAGGUGCAGAGGAGAGAAGUGUGUCUGAGCUGCCAGAUGAAGAGCAUUCAGAUUCUACACCCUUCACUGAAUCUUACUCUUUUUGGGAAACAGGAUGGACACUCAGUACACAACCUUUAUCAUCUAAUAUUUCUGUAUAUAUUGAAGAACAGAUAAAGGAAGAACCUUCUAGAAUAGGCAUAUAUAUUGGCACUGGAACGUGUGCAGCAUUACUCAUCAUUGUAACUCUGUUGGCCUUCAAAUGUAAGUAUUCUGGUAGCUAAGAAUAAAAGGAUAAUUAAUACAGAGUU